GUAGAGACAGAGAGAGAGAGAGGGUAGAGACAGAGAGAGAGAGAGGGUAGAGACAGAGAGAGAGAGGGUAGAGACAGAGAGAGGGUAGAGACAGAGAGAGGGUAGAGACAGAGAGAGAGAGGAGACAGAGAGAGAGAGAGAGAGAGAGAGGGUAGAGACAGAGAGAGAGAGGGUAGAGACAGAGAGAGAGGGUAGAGACAGAGAGAGAGAGAGGGUAGAGACAGAGAGAGAGAGAGGGUAGAGACAGAGAGAGAGAGGGUAGAGACAGAGAGAGGGUAGAGACAGAGAGAGAGAGGGUAGAGACAGAGAGAGAGAGAGAGAGAGGGUAGAGACAGAGAGAGAGAGGGUAGAGACAGAGAGAGAGAGGGUAGAGACAGAGAGAGAGAGGGUAGAGACAGAGAGAGAGAGGGUAGAGACAGAGAGAGAGAGAGGGUAGAGACAGAGAGAGAGAGAGGGUAGAGACAGAGAGAGAGAGAGGGUAGAGACAGAGAGAGAGAGAGGGUAGAGACAGAGAGAGAGAGAGGACACAGAGAGAGAGAGAGAGAGAGAGAGGGUAGAGACAGAGAGAGAGAGGGUAGAGACAGAGAGAGGGAGGGUAGAGACAGAGAGAGGGUAGAGACAGAGAGAGAGAGAGGGUAGAGACAGAGAGAGGGUAGAGACAGAGAGAGAGAGGGUAGAGACAGAGAGAGAGAGGGUAGAGACAGAGAGAGAGAGGGUAGAGACAGAGAGAGAGAGAGGGUAGAGACAGAGAGAGA
rnacentral:lncRNA from 1 species